CUAGAACCAAAAAUCCUACACACGGUACGACACACGCACACAUACACACACACCCGUGCAUGUUCACAUACACACUCGCUUGCGCACGCAUGAAAAGCACACACACACACACACACAUAGCACACACACGCAAUCCAAAAGAAAAGACAUGUGGGCACCACUGGAACAGAUCUUUAUAUCAUAAGAGCAAUUAUAUUAUGUCCACUGGUUCAGUUCUCCGUUUCAAAAACAAGUACAAGUAAUAUAUUUUAUGUACACAACGAAACGUUUCCACAAGUCAUCUUUAAAACAAGGCGGUUCCUCCAGGCAGGACACAGUACAGGAACAACAACAUCACCUCUCACCCCCAGGACGUAGAACACCUCUCCAAGACUGUCGCCACGAAACCUCAGAGACAUCGACAGACAUGUCUGCUAUAGAUCUAUAUCCCUACACAUAGACACAGACAGUUACAGACAUGUCUAUCAUAGACUUAUAUCAAUGUCUAUACACAUAGACUCCUACAGACAUGUCUGUUAUAUCUCUACAUCUCUACACAGACAUAUAGACAGCGACAGACAUGUCAGUAUGCCUCUGUGUCUAUAUCCCAUCUCCCCUUUCUAGAUGUCUACAUGUGUAGAGACGGAGACAUUGUCUAGAUGUCUCUUUCUCUACACAUACAGACAUCAAGAAAGAGGAGAUGGGAGGAGAGACGGCUGUGUCUCUACACAGAAAGAUCUAGGCUCCAGGUGAGAUCCAGGCUGAUCCGGGUGACCCUCUCUCGGUGUACGGUGUGCAGAGCUGGUGGGCCCAUCAGGCUGGUUCUCAGGGUUCCUUCAGGACUCCAGGGAGGUUAAGUCCUCUUGUAUUUACAAGGUUCAGAGUUCAGAGUGGGUACAGGAGUAACAUGCAGCCAGGAGGGGGGGGGGGGGGGGGGGGGGGGGAGAGGUCACAGAGAGUAGCACCACCAUCCAGGGGUCAGAGGUCACAACGUUUCUGAUAAGUCAAACAGGGCUCUCCUCGAGUGGCUCAAUGUGUUGAAGGUAUUUGAGAUCUUGAACGGGUCAGAAGUGUUGUACUGCGGAAACACGUGGUGACACGUGUGUUAUUAUCAAUCCUAACGACGCUGGUGCCAGCUGUCCCCCAUGGAGACUUCAUCUGAGAACUGGUUUAAAAGGAGGAGGAGGAGGAGGAGAGAGAUGUUAUGACUCAGAGAAACUUGUUCCUUUUACUGUUUAGGUAGUUUAUACGUUUACAUCCGGAGGCAGUGAAACUGCUGUGUGUGUGUGGGUGUUUGCAUGUGUGAGAGUGAGUGAGUGUGUGUGUGUGUGUGUGUGUGUGUGUGUGAGUGUGUGUGUGUGUGUGUGUGUGUGUGUGUGUGUGUGUGUGUGUGUGUGUGUGUGUGUGUGUGUGUGUGUGUGUGUGUGAAAGAUAGCGUGUGUGUGUGUGUGUGUGUGUGUGUGUGUGUGUGUGUGUGUGUGUGUGUGUGUGUGUGUGAUAGACUGAGUCUCUUUGUGUGUGUGUGUGUGUGUGUGUGUGUGUGUGUGUGUGUGUGUGUGUGUGUGUGUGUGUGUGUGUGUGAAAGAUUGAGUGUGUGUGUGUGUGUGUGUGUGUGUGUGUGUGUGUGUGUGUGUGUGUGUGUGCAUGUAGCGGUGGUGACGGUCAGGAGGAGGGCUAGAGGCACUGAUAAAAUUUCACCUCUGUGUUCAAAACCACAAAACUUUAUCAAUAAAAUAGCUUUUACAAGUGUGUGAGACAGCGGUUCCGAGGUGUGAGAUCGUGCGAGCAUGCGGGCGGCGGGGUCCAGACCCAUGGGUCAGAACCAGCAGAGUCUCUGGACCGUCAGAACCUGUUUCUGCUUGUUAUGAUGCAAGAACACACAAAACCAAAAGAGCCAAGGAGACGACCUCAGCUCACAUAGACGACCCAAAGGAAAUCCAGGAGCUCCACCGAGGAACAGAAGAACCAGGAGCUGUGAAUGUGUUAGAGGAACCAGGAGCUGUCAAGAUGUUAGAAGAACCAGGGGCUCUGAAGAUGUUAGAGGAACGUAGAAGAAAGAGGAGCUCUGAUGAUGUUGGAGGAGCCCUGACGAUAUUAGAAGAGCUCAUGAAGAUGUUAGAAGAAGCUGUCACCACAAUAUCGAUCCUAACACCACUUGCCCACUGCAUCCGUCGCGAUCCCGUUGACCUUGAAUGGGGCGGAGCCGCAAUGCAUUGUGGAUCCAUCCGUUGUGUUGGAUCCGUCGGCUCCAUCAAGAAGUUGAAAUAUAUUCAACGUUUCAGGCAGCGACGGAUCCGUCAUCCAAUCAAAUCAGAUCGCUCGGGCUUGGCUGACGUAUGUCUCUGCAAAGACCACUCCCCCAUCCGUCAGCCACGCCUUCCGUCAUCCGUUGACGGACGGUGCAGUGGGCAGACGGUUUAAGUUUCCACACCAAAAAAAGAACAAGGUUCCACGGUAACUGGGUUCCCACAGGACCUCAUCCGGAGAUCGAUCUAGAGCCUUGCCAAUCAUCACAUGAACAGCCCGUCGAGAACGCCGGCCAAUUGAACGAGGACAUCCUGUCUGCUCUGAGGUCACUUCCUGUCACCACAGGACAGCACUUGUGUAGCCGACACCAGCAGGUCUGCAGAGUGAGUCGGGGUGGGAGUGACAGCAGGCUGCAGACUGAGUCUUGGUGGGAGUGACCUCCUAUACGAUGUGUAGCCACAUGUUCCUUAUACGUCAUAACGCACAAAGUGGAUUCCUUUUGUCUUGGCAGAAGACAGAACUUGGUUCUGUGUCUCAAAGAAGGUCUGUAGGCGAACCAGCACCCACCACACACAUAGCUGGUGGCCAUGGGAACAGGACUGGUCUGAACUGUCUGGACGGCUGGUGGAUGUAACAGGUCUUUGUUUAAAAAUCUUAUUUGAGCUUAACUUCACAAGUCACCCAUUUCAUUUGGGUUUUGAACCAACCAAUGAUACGUUGUCCUGUCCCAGGACUACACAUCCCAGCAUGCACUAUGUCUCAAUACGGCUCCAUUCCAACAAUAAAGGGGUUUACACACACAGUAGCCUGUAGUCUAUAGUUGACGUGGAAACAGUCAAAACGUCUACUUUAGGAUAUUGAUAGGCUUAUAUUUCCGUGUUACUGUAAUAGUGUGAUUGGAUUAAGGGUGCUGAUUGUAUGAAUCCAUAAAUAAAUGUACCUCUAUAUGAAUAUAUUUUUUUGUAUAAAACAGGAAUGCAUACCACAUCCAUUUACGAUUUGUCACCAAAAGCCUCAAAGGAUCCCGUCCGCGGCAGUUGAAGUCCCUGUGUGUCCAAGCUCCUAGCCUUACCCCUUACUAUAUGAUACUAUAUAUAUACUAUAUAUAUACCAUUCAAACACCCUGCAUCCACUGUUUCUACCAGGAGGUUAUAACUAAAUAUACCCUAAUAUUACCACCAUGUAUAUUUGUAUGUACCAUGAAGUGAUCACCGUAUAAAUAAUGCUUCCGUAUUUACAUGCAUACACGGUAAAAUUCUUACUACCGUAUAUGCAAGUACAUAGGGUAAGAUAAUUUGUACGGUAUAGACCUGUUAAUACGGUAACAUCGUGACCAUAAACAUUCAUAUUUGAUCUGCCUGUUCAUGCAGUCAGACGGUCCUCAGAGUCCGUCUGGAACCUUGUCCGGUUGGCUUCGGUUUGCAGUCUUCUUGGAAACAACAUGGCCCCCAUCAGGGGGUACCGUUAGCGUUAGCAUGUUAGCAUGACAUUAGCCAGACCGUAGCUGAGCUGUAGAGGAAAUAGAGGUCAUUAUCUGGCACGGUAACUCAUUGGUCCAGUCCGGUCACGUGACGAAUCUCGCAGUGUGCCAAUCGCUGCCCUCGUGUGGACGAGUAGAUGGGAAGGUCAUCUGGAGGUCACUAAAGGAGGAAGUUGGAACCAGGAAAUGUCUGUUCGUCUGUCUGUCUGUCUGUCUGUCUGUCUGUCUCUCUAUUGCAGUGGGUUAGAAGUAAGUCUUUUUGCAAGAUGACAAGUUCUCCUCAUCCUUGUCCUCCUGCCUCUGUCCCUCCUCCUCCUCCACCUCCUCCUCCUCCUCCUCCUGCUCC
ensembl:lncRNA